rnacentral:lncRNA from 1 species
GGACUGCUCGCCUGAAAGACAAGACGACUGAAACACACUAAUACGUAUACACACACUCAUUACAUACACAUACAUACAUUCUAAAGAUGGCCGCCAUAUUUCAGCUUGCAUCGACACGACGCUGCCUUACGACCGACACUUGCUGCUAAAGAAAUACACCAACUUGAGCCGAAAAUCUUAAUCAACAUUACUUCCAGCAUCCCUAUCUAGCUGAUCGACUAACUUUUAGACCCAUUCCAGGUAAAAAUUGUGAAAAUCUUAACAUUUUAUUCGCCAUUGUGCAGUGAAAACUAGAGAAAAAAAUGGCUAUUGUAUUAUAACAUUGAAAUUCAGAGCCCAUCUUUCUUUUUCUAUCUUACCCUCUCUAUUCCUCUUUUCCACCCUCUCUCUAUCUUUAUCUCUCUCUCUGUUCCUAUUACUCCAUGUAAAAGCUUGUUGAGUGGCUGUACGACGUGGUAGUGGUAGUAGUUACAGUAAACCGUGCGUAGGAAGGGAGAGGUAAUCGUUGCGUUACUCUCAUGCUUCUUCCUCCCUCCUAAGCUAGCAGCAGUGAGAGUUGGCCUCUCCUUCCUCCUCCUCCUUCAGUCAAGCCAAUGCGUAUGACGCCUCACUCAUACUUCUACCCCCCUCCCAUGGAAAAUCUAUUGAUAACUCAUGAUUUAUUUAUUUAUUUUUAAAAAAAGCUUGGAUUUAAUUACAAUUAAUUUUUAUGUUUUUGACAUUCCAAUUGAAGAAGAAAACAAUCUUAGAAAUAAUUUGCUCAUCCACGUUUUGAGUAUUUUGAGGAUCGUUUGUGGGGGGAAAGAAAAAAAAAGUGUUUGCUGCUAUGUGUGCCAUUGUUCCGGUCGGUAGUUGUCGGCCAUGAUGCCUUUGACUACUGCAGUCGUCACAGUUUUUCAUGUAAUAAUGUCAUCAUCAUAAUAAUAAUAAUAAUAAUGAUGAUGAUGCGAUUAUAGUGAACUCAACGACACCGAACGAGAGAAAUAUUGGAAAAAAAAAUUAAUCAAAAGGUCACAGAAAAGGUUUGUUUUGUAUUUCUAGUUAUGGACUUCACCCAUUUUUUAAAAAUUUGUACUACUACCACUACUACUACUACCGUUAUUACAUUUACAGUCGUUACUACUACUACUUACUAUAGCUUUUCUUCGCACAACCCCCGGUCACACCGGUCACCAUUCAUUCUUGGGGAGUUUCAUUCAUGUAUUUUAAAUGUAUUAAUGUACACCGCUUCCUGUUUUCACCCUUUUUUAUUUAUUGCUGCUCCUUGAAAAUGUCGUUUCGACCAGUCCAGCUUUUCUUGUUACGUGCUGUGUCUGUCUUACACGUGCAUCUUCUCAGAGCUUUAUUUCCUUCUGUUCAAUGUUUAUUAUUUUUUUCUCGGCCUUACAGGUGGGUGGGAAAGACCCCUUAUUUGAAAUAAGUAUUUAAAGAUGAAAAACACGCCAUAGUUUUUUGUUUUUUUUUAAUUUAGCUCCACCUCAACUUCAUUUCUAUCAUUCACUUCGUUUUAGCAUGUAGGUGGAACGUUAGAGCCCCUUAUAUAUAUAUUGUAUUUAUCCAUUUUAAUUAGGCUGGGUAGCUUCAUUACAAUUAAUUAAGCUCGUAUAUUAUCACGGGUGUUGCUUGUCUAAUUAUUUACCGAGCGCUGAGCUAGUCAGAUGACUUUCAUUCGACCUUGGAUUUACAUGUCUUUUACACGUGGGACAUUUUGAGUAAUUUUAAAUUUAAUGUUUUCGGAAAGUUUUUAAUUUAAAACUUCACACCCAAAUGAAACCUUUUUGUAAUUUAAUAUUUCGUUGGGAAAUUUAACUUAGCCUUAUACAAUUUUAAUUAAAAUUUUUUUUUUGUCGAAUGUUCGACAGUGACUUUUAUUUAAAAUGAUUAAUUAGUUUAAAUUUUUAAAUUAUGAAGUAUGUUUUUCUAAUUUAAACUAUUAUUUUUUAUAAAAUAUUUUAUACCUACUUUCGAGUCACCCAAAGUUUAUGAAGACGUAUGGUGUUCGUCUUUUAUUUAGUAAUGUAGUUUCAAGUGCCUUGUUUAUAUUUUAAGGUAUUUUGUAUUUCCCGGUUAUUUUAUCCACGUGGUUUUGUUGAUGAAAACAUUGCCGUACAUAUGCAUCUGGUUUGGUAAUUAUUCCGCCGAAUGCAAUCAUAAAUUAUUACAAUUUAUUUUUAAUUUUCUCUUCUUUUAAAUAUACAAAAUAAAUAGCUAAAUUUAUAUUCAUUAAAUCCUGAAAUGCACGAAUUUUUAAAUAUUUAUAAUUGGUUUAAAAAAAAAUCCUACUGGAAUUUUAGCUGAUUGUUAAAUCUGUUUAACAACAAAUAUUGGCUAUUAAAAUAAACAGGAAUUGCUUUAGCUUUAUAAGGCACAAAAAGAAAAUGACUUUAACUAAAUGUUUUUGCUGAAUAAAUUUGCUAUAUUUUACAUGAAGUUUAAAACGUAAUAGCUAAUAUUUUAUUGAAUUUACUUUCAUUUUGAAUAGUCUUGGGCGUUUUCAUAUUUGUAAGAUAUAAGUGGAAACGAAAGUUACGAAAUUUUAAGAAAAUAGUGAAAUAAUUCCGAUAUGUUUAGGUAAACCACUUAAAAGAUUUGAUGGUAUAGAUGCAAUACAUGAUGACAUGUGUUGCCAGUUUUCAUGUAUGCAAAAAAAAAAAAAAAAAAAACAACUUUUGUCUAGGACCCGAGUAGUGUGCAUGCAAUAAAGAAAAUGUCGGGUAUUGUAACUAUUUCACUUCAGGGAAAUUUGAAAUUGUUUCAUUUUUUUUUUUUUUCUUGUGAGAAGUAAAAUUUAUGUAUACACUAUGUUCCGAGACAAUUUUUUCUUAAAGUUGAAAUUCGGGGAAAUAUCGGGAUGGUGUGAAAACGAAAGUAGUUUUAUACGCGAACCUUGAAGAUCGAAUACUAGAAGCACAAUUUCAUUUUACUGGUUCUGUAAUCUAUUGAUAUUUUUACCAGACACGAUCAAAGACUGUACGCUGUACGUGUGAUUUCUAUAAAAUUAUUAAUCACAUCACUGACGUAAUUUUUUAAAUACUUUUAUGGCCUAGGCAAUGCAAACGCUUAAUCUAUUUGUAUGCUUUUAGUUACUCAUAUAAAGUAAUAGAGCAAUUACAGUUUCAAAAGUGAUACAAAAAUUAUGUUCGACUUCAAAAAGAACUUGCAACAUUUAAUCAUGCUGCCACGUAUCUUAAUUGGAUUAGCGGGCGGAAGUAAAGAAUACGCACACCACCCGUUUUCGGCGUAACCCUAACCCUAAACACCGCGUGUGCGUAUUCUUUACCUUCGUCCAAAGUUAUUUCACAGUGGUGGUGGCAUCGCAGAUCGAAUUUCC